GGAUAUAGGUGUUGGGGGGUUUGCAAAUUCCCGCCUAUCUUCGAUGCUUAAAAGCGUCGUCAAGAUGCUUCGUUGCUUUUAGGCGUCGUUCAGGACACGUGUAGUGCACGUGUUAUAUUAAAUAGCGCAUCACCUUAGGAAUGCUAUACAAGAAGCAAAACCGCCUACUCUAACUUCCCACUUCAGUACUCCACGCACACACGAACCCUAAUUCUUCACAAUUCAAUCUCAGUCUCAAAUCUAGCAUAAAAUCGAACGUUUUUCGUUGUUAUAUGGCUUCAAUCAGCAUCUAAUUUCCACAAAUGGCGUCAAAAUUGAGCUCAGAACCGAAUUCGGAACCGAUUUUGGUAAUUUGAAGUUUAAUCGUCCAAGAAAUUAUCGUGGAAAACUGUUGUUGAUUGCUUGUAGUACCGAUUCUAGCGUUUCAACUGGUCGCAGUGAAUAAAAUGGGUUGAAUAUGAAGAAAUCUUUCCAGAAAUUUCAAGAAAUCGUUGCUUCUCUUCCUCCUGUUAUUCUCGCGUUUAAAAUAGGGCUUUGCCAGCUUUCUGUGAUAGCGGAUAAAGCAAGGAACAUUGAUCAUGCUAGAAAGGCUAUUGAGGAUGCUGCUCAAAAGGGUGCCAAGCUAGUUGUUUUGCCUUUCAGACCGAUGUCUUAUUUACCUAUCUGGUAAAAGAAUUAUGAACUUGAUAUGCCCUUCGAAGUUGUAAGUUCUAAGUUAAUUAUGAAUUCUUUUGGUCAUUUUCUACUGUUAUAUCUUUUACACUUCUGAUGGGCCGUCAAUAUUUCUAGGUAGUAAGGCUAAUUGCUAGUGGUUGCAAUGGCUUAUUGUCUUGUAGAACAGAUAUGUAUCUUGCUGGAGUGGUUAACCCAUUUCUCUAAGCUGUUGCUAGACAAUAGCUUGAAAUUGGUAAUGGAAGAGAUUAUCAAGGUUAUAAGUUGCUGCUAUAACAAGUUCUCCUUGUUUGUUUCUAAUAAUGCAUCCUGCCCCUCCUUUUUGAAGCUGAUUAAUGUCAGACCCAUCAAAGUAAGUGUAUAAUGAUUUCUAGAGUAAAGAACAAUUGUAAAAGGGAACUGGAGAGAUUUCUGAGAAAGAUACAGAUUAGUUAACGAGGAAAUAGUGGGAUUGGUAGUUUCUUUAGCAUUUGAUAUUUCCUUGUUUUCUUUAAUAAUUAUGUUCUAUCAUAGGAGGAGGCAAGCAACAGCUAACCUUCCAAUUAAGUUUUCAUAGGAGGAGGCUUCUUCAAGGAAACAAAUCCUAUAUCACCUGGCCUAACUACCCUGCAGCAUUCAUAUAAAAUCUAAAACAUUAUAGACAUAAGACUAUUACAGAAACUCAGCAAUCAAGAAUAGUGACAAUAAGCCUUAGAGUCACUUCCCAAGUGGAAGCAAUUUGAAAGAAAUAAAUACCAACCAAACAGACCUUUUUCUAUAACAUUAACACCUAAUAGAUAAUGAAAUCAACAAAGGAUGAACUUCAUUCAGUACCAACGCCACUGCAAAAUUAGAAUUAACCUAUAAAUAGCUAAGUGUAAUCUGCUCUUGAAAGAUUUUCUAGAAGCAAAAUGACAUUGCUCUAUUAGCACAAGUUGUCUGUCUAUUAAAUUACAGGACAUUGGGAACUAUAUUGACUUGAUGCUUUUGGCUUUAGUAUUUGUUAUCAGGUCACUGGCAUUCUAGUGUGUCUGUUUUGCUGUCUUAAUUGUAUGGCCUCCCAUAUGCAUAUUACCUACUGCUUGAUCCAUCAGUCAAAUAUGAUAACAUAUUUUU